CAGAACUUUGCCAGCAGAGGCGUCCUGAUGCACUGACGAGAGGCGCUUCCUGCUUGCUCGGCGUUGUCUCCUGUCUGAUUACAGAGGAAAGAGCAUGAGUUGUGGUAUCCUCGCCUGUUGUCUGGGCGGGGGUGGGGGUGGGGCAACUGUCGCGUGUUCCCCAUGGUGGGCAGGGGAUGAGCCCCCGCCUGGCCCGGCAUCCCCAGGUGGCUUGGCCGCAGACCCUCCACAUCCUGAACCACUGAGCCCCAGGCCCUCACUGUCCCCGGCCCGUGGUGCGCGCGGACAUUGCACAAAAAGGGGCCGCAGUUGGUGGCAGGGAGGUGGGGACAGCGCACACGGACAGCCAGCAAAUGUAGCUCAGCGGGCUGUGCUCGGAAAAGCAGCGAUCGGAGCGCAGCCCCACCCAGAGUCUCCCUGAUGCCCGCGGAGGAGAGCCCUCGCCGGUGCGUGGAGGUGUGCAGGAGGACGCCCAGGCGCGUGCGUGGAAAACGGAACCCCCCCCUCCGCCCUCAGGCAAGACGGAGGGUGAUUCGCACAGACGAGGGGCGAGCUGACUGAGCAGGCGCGGUCGGACGGCACCCUCUAGCAGCGCCGCUCUGCAUACGUGUUUGGGAAAAAUCAUUUCAUGAUUAAGCUUCGGCCUCCCCAGUAAAUGGUGAAAACAGGAACUGUGUGUAACUUUCCCCUCUGGCCCUCAGCCCAGUGUGGCACACAGGCCCGCAGCCACCGACCCACCCUGCCCUCCAGAAGCCCCCAUCUGGCUUCCUGUGUCCACCCCCAGCCCAGAGGGGACCCGGCAGAGCUCUGUGCAGACAUAAGAAGUUGCCCCUGAAGCCGCAGGGAAGACCCUGGGAAGGAGCAGCGGCCUCUUCUCAGACCCAGGCUCGGGCAUCGCCAGCCAAUCCAGCCCAGCGCUGCCUGCUCUCAGAGACUGAGACAGCCAGAGACCCCUGCAGUCAGGUUCCAGUACCCGCCUGGCCAGUGUGUGGCGCAAGCCUGAGAAAAAGAAUGCACUGAGAGACAGAACUGAGAGAGAGAAAGCGGGCUUCCAGGACCACCAAUGCCGGUGCAACCGACAAAGGCCUGGCCAGGCCCAGCACUGACUUUUAUUGGCAAUCAACUGGGGUGAAGGCGAUGUGUGGUUUCUAUGGAAAUUAAUGUAAACAAGGCUCUUAAAGGACAAGACAAAGCAGUCUCAAAUUAGGCGCAGAAUAGACAAAAUAUAUGGUUGUAAUUAGUACACUGUCCUAGUCAGAAGGCUUUGGUUGUGGGAAUGGAAUUCGGGUGCGAGUUACCCUGACCUCGGCACGUAGGCUUCAGCCAGACUCAGUUCUAUAAACAAGCCAGUUGUGGGGCUAACUGCACAGCCUGCCUUGGCGUGAUCAGUGUUACGGUCCUCUUCAUGGGACAGCCGGGCGAGUGAGUUCGGGUCCUGUGCUCUCGGACGCUGCCAGGUGUCGAACAGUCUGAUGACCUCUCCGGUGCUUUUCUGCAGUGCUAGGGAUGGGACCCAGGACUUCGCAGGUGGUGGGGAAAUGCUCACCACCAAGCUUCACCAGCAAAUGGUGCAGUCAGGCCACUCAUGGGCACUUCCCAAGAGAAAAGAAGAUAGAUACCCACACGAGACUUGAACACAAAUGUCCACGGCUACUGGAUCUGUAACAGCCCCACACUGUAAACAACCAAACACUGGCCAAUAAAUGAGUAGAUGAACAAACUGGUGUGUCAGUCCAAUGAUGCACCUCUCAGCAGUAAAACCUGAGUCACUGAGAGAGGCAACAUGCACAAACCUCAAAACACCUGUGCUAAAUGGCAAACCCAGAUGAGAGGGUAGGCGCUGUGGGAUCCUACUUAAUACAGAACUCUACAAUGCAAAGCAAUCGCCAUGAAGAAAUGCGGUAGUCUGGGUGGAGGAGCAGAGAGGCGGAGGCAGCUCUGCCCUGUUGGAAUCGGGGUGUGCAUGGUGUUCCACUUCGCCUCAGGACCUGCACCUUGUGUGUGUCAGUUACACUGUUUGAAAUACCUGGUUCUGCCCUCACUGGUGAAGUGGCGGGACAUGGGAGCAGCUGUCAAAGUGACAGUGUAUCGGGACAGGCACCCCGAGAGACAGCGCAGGACGCCCAUGUGGGGAGUGGUCAGUGCCGCCGCUGCUUCUGCCUGGGACACAAGCUACACACGAUGUGGCCCUCAGCCCAGGCUUCUCUGCUCCACGCAGACAGAGUCAUGAACUGGCCAAGUGCAGCUCCUAUCGUCCGCAAGUCACACUGGAUAGUGCUGGGUGCCAGCCAGUGACACAGCGGGCUGCCGGUCUCUGUCACUGCCGAGCGUCAUCCCCAGGCUGACUUCUGCCGGACACUGGGUGCUGUCUCUGCUGCCGGUCUUUGGUGGGUGCUGGCCUCUGCAGCGCUUCAGAUUUAACUGCUCUGAAUGACUGCUCUGUCCACACUGCUCAGGAUAAAAUUCUGAGUAGAUCACUGGACCUUUGGAGCCCACGUUACCUGAGGAAAAACGAGCAGGUUUAUGGAACACCAAGGUGAGUCUUUGACAGGGCCCGCGGGGUGUGUGUACGCACAGCAGGCAGCCUCUAGAGCAACGUGAGGAGGGCAGGAAGUGCUGCUGAGGCAGUGCAGGCGGGGCUGAAGCCAGGGAAUCUUGUGGAAGGUGUGUGGGGUUGCCAGCCCUCCCUCCCUGGCUCAGACCACCAGGGUGCCCCCUUCCUCCUCCCAGAAGGCAUGAGCCAGGGCGCCCCAGUGCUGUCACACUGCAGUGAGAGGAAGCCUGACCGAAGGGAGAAC